rnacentral:lncRNA from 1 species
CUAGACAAAAUCAAAGAAAAACUUCCAGGCGGCGGCCACAAGAAGGCGGAAGAUCAGGAAUUCCCUUCUCCUACUCCUCCUCCUGCUCCUCCGGCGGCAGUUGAGUCAUACGCCACCGUGGAGGGAGAGCCAGCCAAGGAGAAAAAGGGUAUUCUGGAAAAGAUCAAAGAGAAGAUUCCUGGGUACCACUCCAAGACUAAUGAUGAAGAUAAGAAAGAAGAAAAAGAAAAAGAGUGAAAGAAAAAAGCAAGUUGGUGGUAUUAUUAUGAUUGUGGGGUUGGUUUUGGUUUGUCUUGGUUUUGUUAUAUGAUUAUGAUUAUGAUUAUGAUUAUGAUGGGGUCUAUUGCUUUUGCUUUUCUUUAAAUUAUGCAAGUGCUUGGGUGUAUUAAGUUUGUUUUCAACAAGUCUAUCGAGUUCAUAUUUAGAUUUUAUGCGACUUGUAUGUAGCAUAGUACGUAAUAUUAUUAAUGAAUUGGUUACUUUGCUUUGAUUUACG